UGGAGAGAUGACGGAGUGGUCUAUCGUACUCGUCUUGAAAACGAGCGUCCCGCAAGGGACCGUGAGUUCGAAUCUCACUCUCUCCGA
rnacentral:tRNA from 15 species